rnacentral:rRNA from 1 species
CACGUAGGGGACGAGCGUUGUCCGGAUUCAUUGGGCGUAAAGCGCGCGUAGGCGGCUCGGAAAGUCGGGCGUGAAAUGCCGGGGCUCAACCCCGGGACUGCGUCCGAUACUUCCGAGCUGGAGGUAGGUAGGGGAGAUCGGAAUUCCUGGUGUAGCGGUGAAAUGCGGCAGAUAUCAAGGAGGAACACCGGUGGCGAAGG